GUGACUCGGUUAUAUGUCACAGAAUAACAUUCGAGAAUGGGACAUGGAAUGAGGGGACGGCCGCAGCAGCUUCAGCAGCCGCAGCAGCCGCAGCAGCUCUGGUCCCAGGCGCAGCAGCAGCUGCAGCCGCCGCCGCCUUCGCCGCCCGCAGAGGCGCCGCAGCUAUGAGGCCGAGCGUCCGGAGGUGUGCGUGAACCCUUGUGCCAAAAUUCCAGUCGCCUUUCGAGGCACGGCCCGUAAGCGGAGCUCCGGCCGCCGCUCCCCCUUGGCGCGUCCUGCGGCAGCCAGAGGCAUGGAGGAGGCGGGCCCCGCGGGGCGCUGAACCCCGCGCGGCGCCCGCGCGCGCACGCCCCCCGCUGCUGCCGCGCUGCUGCCGCGCGACCCUCAGCCCCGCCCUCCCGGCCCCGGCCCCACCAUGACCGGCUCUGCGGCUGACACUCACCGCUGCCCCCACCCCAAAGGCGCCAAAGGCACCCGGUCCCGGAGCAGCCACGCGCGGCCCGUGAGCCUCGCCACCAGCGGGGGCUCGGAGGAGGAAGACAAAGACGGCGGGGUGCUGUUUCACGUUAACAAGAGCGGCUUUCCCAUCGACAGCCACACCUGGGAGCGCAUGUGGAUGCACGUGGCGAAGGUGCACCCCAAGGGGGGAGAAAUGGUGGGCUCCAUCAGGAAUGCCACCUUCUUGGCAAAGCCUUCCAUACCCCAGGUUCCAAACUACAGGCUGUCGAUGACGAUCCCAGACUGGCUGCAGGCAAUCCAGAACUACAUGAAGACGCUACAAUACAAUCAUACAGGGACCCAGUUCUUUGAAAUUAGGAAAAUGAGACCACUGAGUGGGUUAAUGGAAACAGCGAAAGAAAUGACUCGAGAGUCCUUGCCUAUUAAAUGCCUUGAAGCUGUCAUCCUGGGCAUCUACUUAACCAAUGGACAGCCUUCCAUCGAGCGAUUCCCCAUCAGCUUUAAAACCUACUUCUCAGGAAACUACUUUCACCAUGUUGUGCUGGGGAUCUAUUGCAAUGGCCGCUAUGGCUCGCUGGGCAUGAGCCGAAGGGCGGAGCUGAUGGACAAGCCGCUGACCUUUCGGACUCUGAGUGACCUUAUCUUUGACUUUGAAGACUCCUACAAGAAAUACCUGCACACAGUCAAGAAGGUCAAGAUUGGGCUGUAUGUCCCCCAUGAACCUCAUAGCUUCCAGCCUAUUGAGUGGAAGCAGCUGGUCCUCAAUGUCUCAAAGAUGCUGAGGGCUGACAUAAGGAAGGAGCUGGAGAAAUAUGCCAGGGACAUGAGGAUGAAGAUCCUGAAACCUGCAAGUGCCCAAUCUCCAACCCAAGUAAGAAGCCGAGGAAAAUCCUUGUCCCCCCGAAGGAGACAGGCAAGCCCCCCGAGACGGCUCGGCAGGCGAGACAAGUCGCCAGCUCUGCCGGAGAAGAAGGCGGCCGACCUCAGCACUCUGAACGAAGUGGGCUACCAAAUCCGAAUUUAGGCAAAGCCAUACCAGCCAGCACGAGGGCUUCUGUGGUGCUUCUCUCUGCACUUUACCCAGCGUCUUCAGGGGGAACUGCAACUAUUUAUUGAGAACUCGUGAGUUUUAUUUUUAAAGAUUCACCUGGAAACAGAAUCUGAGUGGGUGGUGACAAUGUAAACAAAAUUCACAAAGGGGAAGCCAAGAAAAGGCUCAAGUCACACCCCCCGCUGGGGCUGGACUGUCUCUCUCCCUCCAGAGAGAAAGGAUAGUACCAUCGGCGUAGUUCUGUAUCUCUCCACUUACCUACAUCCUUUUACUGGCUUUCCACAUCCCCCCUCACCACGAACGUGCUCAUGAAAUCCUCCCCUCCCACUUGAUGUAGUAACUCGGUCAGUAUUAAUGUUUUCUGCAGCAAUAACAGAGGCAAAGAAUGGUGGGUUUUUUUUUAAGCUGUCAAUAUUACCUCAGCAUCUUGACAUCAGAUAUGCAAACUUACUAGUGUUUUGUUUUUUAUAUUCUAUUUGUAUUGCUUCCCCAGUAUUUCCCAUGGGGAUAUCCACAGUUUGGAAUUCUUUCCUGGUGCAUACAUGUGAUGAGAUUUAAGGUAUUAUAUGCAAGUGUUUUGCUAAAAAGCACUGAAAUUCUUCUGGCAAUACGGGAAAUCAUUUUCAGGAGUUCCUUUCUUAAUCUUUCUUAAAGCACCACUGACAGCGGUUUUUGUUCUUUCAAACCAAAACUAAACAAAACAAAAAGCACGUUCAGAAGCUAGUCUACGUUCUGUCAUUCACAUUUAAACUUUGCAGACUCUCGCAAAAAGAAGCGGUCGUGUAGGACUAGAAAAAAUUGACCACUGGGCCUUGAUUCUGAAGGACUCACUGCUGUUAGAGACGUGUUCUGAUGUCUUAUAUUAAGACCGAAUUGGGUGCAAUGUGAUUAUUUUCCGGUACGACUCCGUGGUGUGUAGGAACUGGUAUUGAAGAACGCAGUGAAUUAGAGGAGCAGGGGGCAGGCCGCCUCUGAGCAGUGAAGUCUUCAGGCUGUGUUGCACCUGACAGCGUGACUCAGGCCACGGCGCUUGGGCCACGGUGUUCCACGUGACCGUCUGACCCGCACACACUAGCUCCAGGGACACUUCUGGCUGCAGACCACACAGAAUAACUCUAAUAGCAUCCCAAAUCUGUAUGUGUUCACUAUCAAGAACACAGCUUCUACUCUGUUUUAUCUUAGUAACCAUGGCAACUCAUGAGCCCAAAAGACAUGGACGUGAAGUCUGCUAGUCCACAAAAGUGUUACUUCAGUCUCAGUCUUCCCCUCCGACUCUCUCUGACUGGCGGUGAUUUUAGGAAGGGAUAAAAAAAAUGGGAAUCUGCUCAUUCCAAUUCUGCACCUCUCAGGGUGAGUGACAGCGAAAGGACUGCAUCCAUCCUUUGGCCGUGUGACGUGAACUCAAUCUACCCUAAAAAUCAGUUAUUACUGGAGAGUAUUGGUUUUUUUGGGGGAAAAAAGGAAGUCUAAUGUCUUUUACAUAGACAGGAGCAAGCAAAUACGCACCUCAAUUAGAAUAAAAUAUACCAUGAGUUAAAAAUCCUGAAGUUAAUCACCUGGAGAACAGCAUUAUCAGUCAGCAGUGUUUACAACGAGGUAUCCCUGUGUAUCUGCCCAAGGCAAACCCAUCUGCAGCCCGUGGCCACGUGAAUGUCUAGUGGUGAAUCCUGUCCUUCUCAUGCUGAAAACAGAUCUGUAUCUUCUGUUCAUCAAGCUGAAGCUUUAUUAUACCCAAUAAGAAGACUAUUUAUAACAUUGCAGUCCUCCUAAGAGCUUGGAAUGGGGUUUUCCAAGCAUUACUUUCUGUACUGUCCCAACUAAAAUACAGAAAGUCUAUAGUUGCAUAGCCUCUUGUUUCUCACAAAAAAGGAGGGAAAAGAACAGGAGUACAAAGUGUUUCCAAUAUGCUGACGUGUAAGCCUUAAAGCUGCCGACUGGCUUGAUGACUCAAUUAAGGAAGUAAAUUUCUUCCACACUAACUUCUUGAUUUUAGGAGUCACUUUUCCAAAGCAAGUGUUAGUCACAGAACCAUGCAAAUUCAUUGAAAAUGUUAAUGCUUACGGAAUGUUAAUUUCUAAAAGAUAUGAGAAAGGAACCAAACUCCUAAAUUCUGGUGCAGACAUUUAAUUUUAAUAUUAAGGCAAAACAAAAAAAAUUAUAUGAUUUGUCCCUCAACAUUGAUUUUGAAACUGGCUAUAAUUCAGAAGAUCAAAAAUGAAACUGAAAUGGUUAGAAAUAUAGUUUUGAAAAUGUAAUAAUGCAAGAGAAAUUUUAUGCGCAAGCCAUUAUGGCAAUAUAUGCAAAGUUUAAAUGAAUGACAGAAAUCUUGAUUUUAGACUACAUGUGAGUACACUUUAUUUCAAAAAGUGGUAUUUGCUAUUUUCUAUACACUCUGAAAUCAUGAGCAUUUCACUUUUUCUAAGUCGAUUAUUUCAUAAGGGUUUUAUUAAUAGAUAUUGGUAAAUAGAACUUUGGAAAUCUUAAUUCAGUAUUCUUACUAUACUCAAGGCUUUUGUAAGCUAGUUUUAUGUACAACCUUGUACAGUUUUUUUUGACAUACAAUUCAGAAUCUUGUUUAUUCUCUUGGACUUUGUUCUGGCCAAUACAUUUUUUUAAAUCUUUAAAAAAAA